UUCUCUUAAUCUCAGUCUUAACCAAACAAGUUAGAACAUUAUAUUCAAUCUUGGGAAGAUGAUAGUCAUACUUAUUUGAAAAUAUAUAUAGAAAUAGACAAUCCUUCCAUUGGUUAAGCAAUUUCAUUAUUUUCUGACAUGUGAACUUAAAUGCAACAUUAAAUGCUUAAUCUUUUGAUCUUACUACUCAUAAAUAAAUAAAUAAAUCAUGUAACACAACUUUAUCUUGUUUACUGUGCCUAAGGAUAGAGAAAAAUAAAUAAAGAAAUAGAUUUGGUUCUGUUGAUGUUUUUCCACCAGCAGAGCCCAUGCACUUGAUCUCUACCUUAGUUUUGCAAACAGAACAACACAUCAAGCAAAGUUUAUUAAUUCUACAAGUGAAAGUUCCGUGAAGAUGCACACUGAGCAAGAUGCUGCCAGCUGCUAUUAAAGCUCUACUUCAACUUUCUAACCAAAUCAAAGAACAAAAGUUACAUUACCAUCAUUAGAGGUGUGCAACCAUCAAGACCUCCAUCUCUCAAGAUGGAGAGAUACACAAGAGUGGAAGAAGAAGACCUAUCGAUAAAACUUUAAAUUUUACAUUAUUGCCAUAAGGUAAUAUGGUAGUUAUCUAAUUAAUUAGUAUUCCUAUAUGCAUUAAUAAUUUCACUUUAAUAUUUUCAUCUCCAUAAAUAUUAAAAAAUAAAAUAAAAUAAAUCUUUAUUGCUUCAUUUACUGCAUCAUAGAAUAUUAAAAGCUCUAUAGGAAUAAACUUAUAGUAACCCUAUAGGAAUAUUUACUGUGGUGACAUAAAGAAUAAUAAUAAUAGUUUCUGUAUUUAUUUUCUUGCAUUAUGAAAAACCUAAGCCCCAUAAGAAUAAAUAUUUUCUGUGGAGGCAUAAAAAUACAACUAUCUAUAUAUAUCAUGCACACAUAUUUAAUUUCUACAUAACUAAACUAGAAAGAGAGAAUCCUGCUAGAACUUGUCAAUUUAAAAUCAACUUAUAAGAAUAAUCAAUUACUUAUUGGCUGAUCUACCCUAUUAUUAAAUUCGAGCCUCGAGUUUUGGUUUUCUUUUUGGAGUGUAAUUAUGCAGAAACAACAUUAUGACGAGAGAGUCUAUUAGUGGCACCCACCUGGGGAGCGCUACCAGCUAGCUCACUCUGAAGACCAUCACACCAACUAUUGCAAACAUCUAGCUUGGGGGAGGAGCAUCCCCUAGUUAUCAGGUAGCUAUACCUAAGCGAUUAUCGAGUCUAUUUUAUAUUGUCAUAAAAUAUCAAAAAUAUGUGAGCACAUGAAGGUUCACAAUAAUAUCAUAAGAAAAUAUAAAAGUACCAAAAUAUAUGGGCAUAUGAAGGUCCAUGUCUUUAGAGUCUUUUGAGUCCAUUAGAAAUGAAUAAAAACCAAACAAAAUACUUAUCUAUAUAUUAAGGUGUGAUCAUAGAGUGUGUCUAUAGUCAGUCUAGUUUAGAGUCAAAUAAAAAUUAGAGAAUAUUAAAGUUCUGUCUUGGAGAUGAUGAAUAGUUAAUUCCUUUCAAGUGCCUAGUUUUCAACCAUAAAUUUUCCCAAGAUUUAGACAUGACCACUUUAAGAAUUUACUCUGAAUCUAAAAUUUCUGGAGGCAUAUGUUUAAGCUAAGUCUAGGUGAUUGCUAUUAUGCAUGAAGGUCUAAGCUGCUAUUUAUCUUAUUCCUAGCAUUACUAAGUUCUGGAGAUUUAUUUUCAAAAACCCAAAAUCCUAUAUCAUGAGCUCUUGUAUGAUAAAUUUUAAAUUUGAGCCAUAUAUGAUACAUUUGGAGUUAGGAAAACCUUUGCACAUUCGUGCUGCUUGCUUUACAUUGAGUUUAGUCAACCUUUGGAGUAUACCUUAUGAGAGUCUUGUCAUGCUUUUAAAAUCAAGAUCACUCACGCACUCCACCUACAUAUGCAUUGCUCCUACUCUGGGAGUAAGCGCAAUUAUUUUCCAUUUUCAUCUAGAUCCACCUUAAAAAUGUUUUUUCUCCUACACUAAGAGUAAACACCCAAAAAUAUACCCUAUAGGACAGCCCACAUUUAAUUGCUCUAAGUUCGAUCACUAUCUCUCUGAUUAUUUAAUUCAAAGGAUGCAUGUGGCUAUGCAAAAGUAUUAAAAAAGAAAGAAAGAAAGAAAAAAUAAAAAAAAGAGGAAGUAAAAGAUGGACAAGUGCCCAAGCAAUUAAAACAACGGGUACAUUGAUGCCCGCCUCCCACAGUAAUGAAAAAAAGAGAAUAAAGAUAGCCCAUGGUUUCCCGCGACAUGUUCUAAGUUUUAAAGGAGGAAGUAAUUUUCAAAGAGCAAAAGUAGAAAUGGGAUUAGCCACUAAAUACUAUAUAUGCACCUAUCCACCAUAUUCCAUACCUACGCACUAAAUACUAUAUAUGCACCUAUCCACCACUACUACAGAAUGAGGCAUUGGUCGAUGCCCAAAAUGGCCAAAAACCUCGGCCUUUUUGCGGCCCGGGGUUAAAGACCCCUUUAGCACCGGUUUGUAACACGAACCGGUGCUAAAGGGUCCUGCCCAAUGGCUACUGACAGGUGCUGUCAGGGCAGGAACCCUUUAGCACCGGUUGGCAACACGAACCGGUGCUAAAGGCUCCUCUUUAGCACCGGCCAGCGCGACGGGCCGAGGCAAACCCUUUAGCACCGGUUUUUGCCCUAAACCGGUGCUAAAGGUCCGCUUUAUAGGCCGGCUCCCUCCUCCCCUCUGCCCAUUUGAAACCGAUAGCACCAUUGUUGUUCUUGGAGCUUCUUCUUGCUUGUUCUUCAUUUGUUCUUCAUCUCCAACGCCC
rnacentral:lncRNA from 1 species